UUUUCACCUCCUGUUCACCUGGGUCUGUCCAGCACAGAGACAGAGCAGAGACCUUCAGCUCAAUUCUGGAUCUUAAGCACCACCUCAAACCCUUCCUGCUCCAGCAGCAAUUCCCUUUUCCAGUGUGCUCCCAAUAAACAGAAAUCCCACAGCAUCAAAGCCAGGAGUGGGACUGGAAGAAAAUCCCGGCCCAGGCUGGUUCUGUGCCCCAGGAGCUGCAGUUUGGGUGAGGGGGAGCAGGAAUUCCUAUGGGAUAAAUCCCAUCCCAGAGUCCAAAUCCCAUCCCAGAGUCCAGCAGGAAUUCCCAGGGUACAAAUCCCAUCCCAGAUUCCAAAUCCCAUUCCAGAGUCCAGCAGGAAUUCCCAGGGUACAAAUCCCAUCCCAGAUUCCAAAUCCCAUUCCAGAGUCCAGCAGGAAUUCCCAGGGUACAAAUCCCAUCCCAGAUUCCAAAUCCCAUUCCAGAGUCCAGCAGGAAUUCCCAGGGUACAAAUCCCAUCCCAGAUUCCAAAUCCCAUUCCAGAGUCCAGCAGGAAUUCCCAGGGUACAAAUCCCAUCCCAGAUUCCAAAUCCCAUUCCAGAGUCCAGCAGGAAUUCCCAGGGUACAAAUCCCAUCCCAGAUUCCAAAUCCCAUUCCAGAGUCCAGCAGGAAUUCCCAGGGUACAAAUCCCAUCCCAGAUUCCAAAUCCCAUUCCAGAGUCCAGCAGGAAUUCCCAGGGUACAAAUCCCAUCCCAGAUUCCAAAUCCCAUUCCAGAGUCCAGCAGGAAUUCCCAGGGUACAAAUCCCAUCCCAGAUUCCAAAUCCCAUUCCAGAGUCCAGCAGGAAUUCCCAGGGUACAAAUCUCACCCCAGAUUCCAAAUCCCACCCCAGAUUCCAAAUCCCACUCCAGAUUCCAAAUCCCAUCCCAGACUCCAGCAGCAAGGAAGUGCCUGAGCUCCUUUUCCCAGCUGAGGAAUUCCAAGUGGAAAUUUUUCCUGAUUUUUUUUUUUUUCCUUUCAGCUUUUGGGGAUUUUAUGUCCUGGGGAAAGUAUUCUAGGGGCUGUAGCUCCAUCAGCUUCCAGAAAAUGCAUCUGUGGGAACAGCUCAGCUCUCCAGGUGAGUGA
rnacentral:lncRNA from 1 species